rnacentral:lncRNA from 1 species
CCGAAGGCACCCUGUCCCGCCGCCCACAGCCUUCUCCGCGCCAUGUCCUGGGCCAGGAUCCCCCGCCACGGGGCUCACACGAAAGACCCCGGGGCGGGGAAGCCCCGCAGCCCGGAGCUGGGUCCAACCUGCAUUAAGGUCUGGUGUGGCAGAUGUGGAUAGCUGGACCCUCCUGGGUGCCUCUGCGUUAUGUCGUUUGGUUGAUGCAUUUGGAGAGAAUCUGUGCUCUCCACAACUGCAGGGGCAACAUGCUUUCCUGGCCUCUUCAGAUCAGGGUGGCUGUUCUUGGGUGCUGCACCAAAACUCCAGCAGUGGGCUUUCUUCAAGUGGCCGGCUCACCUCAUUCCUGCCAAGACCCAGGUCCGUGUUCUCACAGUGCUGCCAUCUUUCCUCCGUGUGAGCGUGGGCUGUGCGGAGAGUGGACCUCGGUGUGUGCGGGGCUGCGUGCACUGCCAUCGCUCCCUCUACACGAGCCGGCGUGGACCCAGGGCUGAGCUGUGACCACGAGGGCCAUCCCGACGAGCCGCCAUGGACCCAGGGCUGAGCUGUGACCAUGAGGGCUAUCCCGACGAGCUGCCGUGGACCCAGGGCUGAGCCGUGACCAUGAGGGCCAUCCCGAAACUGUGAUUGUUUUCUGAUGAAGAAACCAAGGCUUUGUGACUAACUCAACCCCUCAAGAAGGACAAAACUAGCAUCAGAGCCCCUUGCUCCUGGGUCUGGCAAGAAUGCCUCUUGUUUGCUGAGAGGUCCACAGAUUUACCCGGCUCAAGACUGGGAGAUGGGAGGUGACCAGGUCAGUGCCAGCCUCUCUCUGAGCUCCUCUGAGUCGUGGCAGCUGAGGUGCUCCUCCGAGAAUGUUCUGCCAUCCGUGAGGUCGUGUACGCCUGGAAGCUUUUGUUCCAUUGAACUCUGCCAGGGAGCUAUACUUAGCCACGCGAGUGGAGGCCAGGAGUGGGUUCUCUGAAUAUAGAUAGUAGCAAGCAGGCUAUUUUCAAACACCUAGAGAACCCCCAUGAUUAUUCUGGGCCAAAAUGAUAUUUAUAGGAUGCUCUGGGCCCUUGGACAUGAAGGCAAUAACCUUAGCGCCUUUUGGCGUUCGGGAUAAGUUUCUAUCAACGGGGAGUGGAGAGAGGGACCCGGUCACCCAGAGGCCCGCUGUCCCUCAACACCUGUUUCCAGGAGGCCAGGCGUCUUCUUUGCUUUUACACUAUGAGUCAGAGAACAGCGAGAGGCACGCAGGGCCCUACUAAUUUUCCUUCCUGCACACCCUGGUGUGGGUCCUGUCUGAGGCCUGCCGUGUGCUAUUAGGGAAGACGUCAUCAGGGGACUUUUUCUGCUGUGAGGAGGGUGCAGCCCCUGCCUUUCAGAGCUCAGGACACCCUCUUCCUCUUGUCCAGGAUCCUCAGGGAUUUCCUAGGCUUCCACCCUCACCCAGACAUCACUGGACCGUCACUGAAACACCCGCUUCCAGUGUGCUCAGGUCCUGCAGCCUCCUGUCCAUCCUUGCCCCGCCUCCCGCCCGGAGGAAAGACUCUGACACUGCCCCUGGAAGAGGGAGGAGAGUGGAUGUGAUGAGUGAAGAUUUGGGUGGGGAAAGGAAGGCCUGAGUCCUGGGAGGAAGAGCUCUCCCCGCCCCGAGCCCCCGGAGACUGUGAGCAAGGCUGAGACGCCUCCUUCCUGGUGCUCAAGCUGCAGGUGUUGGAUAGGCCUCCAGAAGCCCAGAUUUUAAAUGACCGCUCCAGGUUAACCUGGGGAUGGUCAGGCAGAACAAGGAGGAGAGGCCAGCAGUGAAGGGCAGGGCUGGUGGGCAGUGGCUGGGGGUGUCCUGGGUGGGGCUGGCCACCCUCGCUGCCUCUGACUUGGGCCAGACCUGCGUUAAGUGGAGUGGCUCCUCCAUUCUUUACACCCCAGGCCCCUGGCAGGUGCCCUGCCUUUCCUCUGCCCCUCUCUCUGCCAACCCAUCCUCUCCCUCCCAGCCCCUGCCCGCCCAGAUAUAAAUAUAAGAGCAUUUUCCAUGGGCUGAGACAGAAGGGAAAACAUUCAGCUUUAUUUUCGGCUUGUGAAAUUCCUGUCCUUCAUUCCCAACAGGUGCAAUCGCCUCAUUUAGAUAUUGGGACCCAGAAAUAGAAGACAAUUUACAAUAUAGCUUCCUUUAGGGAUCUGGAUGCUACCAAACAAACAAACAAACAAAAAAAGCCCUCCUGUGAGAUGCCGAGACUUAAUAGAAACCGUGGUUGGAGCUCUUGCCUUUUUCCAGGCCGGUGGAGACCCUCACCCCUGGCAGCCUGACCGUGAAGCAGAGGAGGCAAGAGCUCCGGGAGACAGUCGGGAGGGAGGGGGCCCUGGAGGACAGGCUCCUAGCCCUACUCCUCCUCAAGACCCGGGUGCUGGCCUGUCCCCUGCCUUUGCCCCGAUGGGGAUGAGGGAGAGGAGAUGGGUCAGGGAACAGCUAUGGCCAUUGGGGAAGGUGACUUGGAUGCAACCUUUGAAAGAGAUGCUUCCAGUAAACCCCAUCGGUUAAGAUCAGCUGUCCCCCAUGAUCCUUUGUGUGUGUUUUUUUGUUUUCACACAGGGUCUCGGUCUGUCGCCCAGGCUGAGUGCAGUGGUGUGAUCUUGGCUCACUGCAACCUCCACCUCCUGGGCACAAGCAAUCCUCCUGCCUCAGCCUCCUGGAUAGCUCAGACUACAGGGGUGUGCCACCAUACCCAGCUCAUUCUUUUGUAUUUUUAGUAGAGACAGAGUUUUGCCAUGUUGCCCAGGCUGGUCUCAAACUCCUGGGCUCAAGUGAUCCACCCGCCUUGGCCUCCCACAGGGCUGGGAUUACAGGAGUGAACUCCCAUGCCUGGCCCUCAUGAUCCUUUGUAGACUGAGGGACAAAAGAAGAGGGUGAGGCCUCCCCUCUCCUCAGCGCUGAGUGCAAGGACCCUCAAGGCAACUCUUGGCAAAGCCCCAUGUUUCCACUGGCUGUUUAGGUGGAAUUGCGUCCCCCCGCUUCCGUAUGUUGAAGUCCUAAUUUUCGGGCCCUCCGCUUGUGACCAUAUUUGGAAGUAGAGGCUUUGCAGAUGUCAUGAGUUAAGAUGGGGGCCUCCUGGAGCAGGGCAACAUGACUGUAUCCUCAUAAGAAGAGGAGAGACAGAAACAGACACACACAGGGAGAUGCCACGGGACUCCCAAAGCCACAAGAAAGCCUGGAACAGCCCCGCCCUCACAGCCUCUGAAGGAACCAGCCCUGCCUUCACCUGGAUCUGGGACUUCCAGCCUCCAGGACUGGGGGAGAAUGAAACUCUGUUGUUUCGGCCACUCAGGCUGGGGUGCUUUGUUAUGGCAGCUGAGUGGGUGCCUCCCUCUCUGGGGACGGCCAAUCCCUGUAGGGGAGGCAGUGGUCCCGGUCCAGGAAGGUGAGAGAGGCUUUCUCAGUGUCUUCACUUCGCCAGCUCACGUGGAGACUGGUAGCGGCUGGAGCCCAAGCUCUUCUGGGGAGCCGGUUUACUCAAGGUCACCCUUGAUCCAGCGGAGCCCAAGGUCUAGGUCAAGCUUCCUCUGGGAUGUCCCCAAGGCUCUUCAAACAGGUGUCGUCAAGCCAUCUGCCCAAGGGCCCGUCAGCACCUGGCAGGUGUUAGCCAGGCUGAUCUGCAGGCGGGGCUGCCCCGAGUGGGGCUCCCACUGCCCGGGUUGGGACUGGAGCAGCCAAGUGGCUGAGCAACAAGGUGCUUCAUGUGUGGUCCCUGUGAGCCCCCCUGAAUAGUCUCAUGGACAGACGGAUGGACGGGAGGCUCAGUGGGCUCUGGGAGCAAGGGGAGCGCUUGCCGCUCUCCACGUGGCUCCAUUCCAGGACCAGGACAAUGAUGUCUUCCUGUCUGCAGCCAGAAGCAGGGCAGCUGACAGCGGCCCAGCCCUCCUGAGGGACAGGUGUCCGCUCCCAGAAACCUCCCUUCCACCAUCCCCAUCAGCGAAGGUGUCAGGGACUAGGAGGGGCCUCCUUGCUCCUUCCUGGACGCUGCCCCUGGGGUUGAGCUGGAGAGGCUGAGACAUGCUGGGAAGAGGAGGACCAGCCCAGUGGGCGGCCGCCCAACAGCUCGGCGGUGAGAAGAGGCCACGUGUAAGAAGGAAACGCCACCACCCCACUGGAUGGUGGGAGCAGGACUCCAGGGAGGGGGGUCUUGAGUGUAGGCAACCAUGUCGAUUUGGCACAGUGUCUCAACAGGGCAGGGCAAGGGUCUGGGAUUCCAGUUCACGGAUGCCCCAGGUACCAUGGGUGGACAGAGGCCCAGACCCUCUGCAAGACAGCAGUGAUCAUGUCAGACCCUCGCAGCGCUUGAGGGCUGCAGCAGGAGCCCUGAGUCCUCUGUUCUGACCAGGCAGCAGGGAGGACUCGCUGCCCCCAGCUGCACAACGCCUGCCCCGGCCUUGGUCUUGGCCCUCUACCCGGCACCAGCUGGAGCCUCUUGGCCAUUCCUCUGUGCCAUGGGACACUCUCCCACUCCUGCGCUGGCUUCUGCCCACAGUGGCGCCCCUGCUCACCCACUGGCAGUGUCCCCACCUCUCAGAAGAGUUUUUCACAGUGGCAGGCCCUGACCCAGAGUCUCCUGCCUACUUGGUGGCUAAAGGCCCCAGGCGAUCCCCAAAUCCUGCUGUCUCAGGGAGUUUCUCAGAGUCCCACCUCCUCCACAGAACCAGGGGAUUGGCCAAGACUCAAAGCUUCGAAGAACGGAACA